AAACCUCAACAACAACAAAAACAAACAAACAAAACAACCUUUCAAACAAAUAACGUGUAAAACGACAUCAAAAUAAGCUGCAGGCAAAUAAAAAAGAAAAAUUAACGUAAAACCAAAAGUUUAACAAAUUUUUGAACAAAUACACCCAGAGAAAACUUAUUAUAUUAAAACAAAA